rnacentral:rRNA from 1 species
UGGGGAAUUGUUCGCAAUGGGCGCAAGCCUGACGACGCAACGUCGCGUGGAGGAUGAAGGUCUUCGGAUCGUAAACUCCUGUUGCCCGGGACGAAUAGCUUCGACCUAACACGUCGGAGUAUGACGGUACCGGGUGAGGAAGCCCCGGCUAACUCUGUGCCAGCAGCCGCGGUAAUACAGAGGGGGCAAGCGUUGUUCGGAAUUACUGGGCGUAAAGGGCGCGUAGGCGGCCUGUUAAGUCGAACGUGAAAUCCCUGGGCUCAACCCAGGAACUGCGUCCGAUACUGGCUGGCUUGAAUCCGGGAGAGGGAUGCGGAAUUCCAGGUGUAGCGGUGAAAUGCGUAGAUAUCGGGAGGAACACCGGUGGCGAAGGCGGCCUUCUGGACGGAUACUGACGCUGAGACGCGAAAGCGUGGGGAGCAAACAGGAUUAGAUACCCCCGUAGUCCCUGAGCGGGCUGGCAAGGCGCAU